AAACCAACAGGGAUUGCCCUAGUAACGGCGAGUGAAGCGGCAACAGCUCAAAUUUGAAAUCUGGCGCAAGCCCGAGUUGUAAUUUGUAGAGGAUGCUUCUGGGCAGCGGCCGGUCUAAGUUCCUUGGAACAGGUCGUCAUAGAGGGUGAGAACCCCGUAUGUGACCGGCGCGCACCCUCCACGUAGCUCCUUCGACGAGUCGAGUUGUUUGGGAAUGCAGCUCUAAAUGGGAGGUAAAUUUCUUCUAAAGCUAAAUACCGGCCAGAGACCGAUAGCGCACAAGUAGAGUGAUCGAAAGAUGAAAAGCACUUUGGAAAGAGAGUUAAAAAGCACGUGAAAUUGUUGAAAGGGAAGCGCUUGCAACCAGACUCCGCGGCGGUGUUCCGCCGGUCUUCUGACCGGUCUACUCGCCGCCGUGGGGCCAACAUCGUCUGGGGCCGCCGGAUAAGACCGUUGGAAUGUGGCUCCCUCGGGAGUGUUAUAGCCAGCGGUGAUGCGGCGCGUCUCGGGCGAGGUCCGCGCUUCGGCAAGGAUGUUGGCGUAAUGGUUGCCAGCGGC
rnacentral:rRNA from 1 species